UACGUAGGGGGCUAGCGUUGUCCGGAUUUAUUGGGCGUAAAGAGCGUGUAGGCGGCCAGGUAGGUCUGCUGUGAAAACUCGAGGCUCAACCUCGAGACGUCGGCGGAAACCAUCUGGCUAGAGUCCGGAAGAGGAGAGUGGAAUUCCUGGUGUAGCGGUGAAAUGCGCAGAUAUCAGGAGGAACACCAAUGGCGAAGGCAGCUCGCUGGGACGUGACUGACGCUGAGACGCGAAAGCGUGGGGAGCAAACAGG
rnacentral:rRNA from 1 species